rnacentral:sRNA from 1 species
UCUCAUCAGAGGCAGCAAAGAGACUUGCAGAGUGCGUUAAGGUAUGGCAUUACCUAUUCCUGGUUCCAAAACAUAAAGGCCAUUCAUUUCUCUAUCAUAUUUCAGAAACUAAAGGAAUAGUUUAUUUACAACCAAGGAGAUGAUUGUAUGGUAGGUUUCCGAGCAAAGAGGUAGGUAUAUGUAAUUUAAAACGAAAAGCAGCAAUUAGAGCUAAGAUUCUUAGGUUUAAUCCAAGAAACACUUACAGGCUAUUUAACUUUUUUUUGGUCCAGUUAAACCACUUAUAAAAUAGGGUUUCAUAUCCUAACCUCUUAAAUAGUAUGUUACUAAACUUUGUGAGACUUUUGAAUCCUUCAUAUGGAAGAUCUAUGUGGGUGCAAAGAACUAUUGUUAAAUGUAGCGUUUAUUAAUUUCCUAUUUAUAUCAUUUCUAUAUGUAACUAAAUGGUUGCACAAACCAUCUUUCUCUCUCACCCACAGCAAGUGAUAACUAAAGAAUAUGAACUGUUUGAAUUCCGUCGGACAGAGGUUCCUCCAUUGCUCCUUAUUUUAGAUCGCUGUGAUGAUGCCAUCACCCCAUUGCUAAACCAGUGGACAUAUCAGGCCAUGGUCCAUGAACUACUAGGCAUAAACAACAAUCGGAUUGAUCUUUCCAGAGUGCCGGGGAUCAGUAAAGACUUAAGAGAAGUGGUCCUAUCUGCUGAAAAUGAUGAAUUCUAUGCUAAUAAUAUGUACCUGAACUUUGCUGAGAUUGGUAGCAAUAUAAAGAAUCUCAUGGAAGAUUUUCAGAAGAAGAAACCAAAAGAACAGCAAAAACUAGAAUCAAUAGCAGACAUGAAGGCGUUUGUUGAGAAUUAUCCACAGUUCAAGAAAAUGUCUGGGACUGUUUCAAAGCAUGUGACAGUGGUUGGAGAACUAUCUCGAUUGGUCAGUGAGCGGAAUCUGCUGGAGGUUUCAGAGGUUGAGCAAGAACUGGCCUGUCAAAAUGACCAUUCUAGUGCUCUCCAGGUCAGUCCAAUUUGAUGAGCACCUACUAUGUGUAAGGUACUGUGCCAGGCAGAGCAAGAGAUAAAAAGGCAAGUAAUCCUUCUUCAUCAACAUGGAAUUUAGUCCGACAAGGAGCUGAGAUGAGAAUACAAAUUAAUAUUAUUUAAGAUAGAUCUAUAAAAAGAGCCACAAGAGAAGUGUAAUGUGCAAUUCCCAAGGGUUCAGUUAAUUAGUAUGAGGGCAGCCUAGUCUACUAGAAAGAGCACCAAACUAGAAUCAGAAGAUCUAGAUUGGAGUGUUUGGUAUACCACUUACAGGCUUUGUGACAUGGAGCUGUUGACUUAAUCUCUGAGCCAGUUUCAUUAUUUGUAAAAUAGGUAUAUUAAUACUUAUCUCACAGAGUGGUUAGGAAGACUUUAAAAGAUAAAACGUAUAUUAAA